rnacentral:rRNA from 1 species
AGUGAACGCUGGCGGUAGGCCUAACACAUGCAAGUCGAACGGCAGCACAGGAGAGCUUGCUCUCUAGGUGGCGAGUGGCGGACGGGUGAGGAAUACAUCGGAAUCUGCCCAGUCGUGGGGGAUAACGUAGGGAAACUUACGCUAAUACCGCAUACGACCUUCGGGUGAAAGAGGGGGAUCGCAAGACCUCUCGCGAUUGGAUGAGCCGAUGUCGGAUUAGCUAGUUAGCGGGGUAAUGGCCCACCAAGGCGACGAUCCGUAGCUGGUCUGAGAGGAUGAUCAGCCACACUGGAACUGAGACACGGUCCAGACUCCUACGGGAGGCAGCAGUGGGGAAUAUUGGACAAUGGGCGCAAGCCCGAUCCAGCCAUACCGCGUGGGUGAAGAAGGCCUUCGGGUUGUAAAGCCCUUUUGUUGGGAAAGAAAUCUUUCAGGCUAAUACCCUGGGAGGAUGACGGUACCCAAAGAAUAAGCACCGGCUAACUUCGUG